UUUGGUAGAGGAAAAUCACUAUUUCAGGUUUUAGAGUUCUAUUAUCUUUUUUUUUUUCCUUAGAUUUUAGACAAUUCUUUAAUAUUGUAGAUGCUGAGGCUGGUGUUUGGAACAGGAUUGUAUCCUUCAAUCAACAGCUAAGAAAACAGGGGCAAUUGCAGCUCACCGCAGGGAUUCACCAUAUGACGAUACGGGAUUCUCUUUCGUAGGAUGCGUGAUUAAUGGAACUGGGAAAGUCCUUCUAGGAAGAGCUUGGGGGAAUUAUUCAAGGGCAAUAUAUUCUUUCUGUAACUUUGAUCAUAUCAUAAUUCCUGCAGGGUGGAGUGACUGGAACAACCCAUACAGGCAAAAGACUGUGGUUUUCGGGGAAUACGAGUGUAGUGGAAGAGGAGCAGAUAUUAGAGGUCGAGUGCCAUGGUUAAAGACCUUUACUUACGAGGAAGUAAAGCCUUUCCUAGGCAUGCAAUUCAUAAACGGAGACCAGUGGCUUAAACUCUAAUUUUCCUUUAUCUUUUCUUGUUAAGCUUGUUAAUUAGUUAUUCUUUUCCAAUUCCAUUUUUUAAGCUACUCCCUUAAUGCAAGUGGCCACACAGGGGAUUCGCUAUGUUAUAGGACCAAAACAUGCACACAGCAUCACAGUGAAUUUUCCAUUUAUCGUUUCCCCUUUCUGCUUUGGUCCAGAUUAUAGCAGCAUGUACCUAUUAAAGUCGUCAAUUCAUUGACGACGAAUAAAAAAAAAACGAAAAAAAGGAGGCAUGGUCACAA